UACGUAGGAUCCGAGCGUUGUCCGGAUUUACUGGGUGUAAAGGGCGUGUAGGUGGAUCGGCAAGUCGGUGGUGAAAUCCUGCGGCUCAACCGCAGAAUUGCCUUCGAAACUAUCGAUCUUGAGUGCGGCAGAGGGAGACGGAAUUCAUGGUGUAGCGGUGAAAUGUGUAGAUAUCAUGAAGAACACCGGUUGCGAAGGCGGUCUCCUGGUCCGUUACUGACACUGAGGCGCGAAAGCGUGGGGAGCAAACAGG
rnacentral:rRNA from 1 species